CCUACGGGAGGCAGCAGUGGGGAAUUUUGGACAAUGGACGCAAGUCUGAUCCAGCCAUGCCGCGUGCGGGAAGAAGGCCUUCGGGUUGUAAACCGCUUUUGUCAGGGAAGAAACGGGUUUCUCUAAUACAGAGACCUAAUGACGGUACCUGAAGAAUAAGCACCGGCUAACUACGUGCCAGCAGCCGCGGUAAUACGUAGGGUGCAAGCGUUAAUCGGAAUUACUGGGCGUAAAGCGUGCGCAGGCGGUUAUGCAAGACAGAGGUGAAAUCCCCGGGCUCAACCUGGGAACUGCCUUUGUGACUGCAUAGCUAGAGUACGGUAGAGGGGGAUGGAAUUCCGCGUGUAGCAGUGAAAUGCGUAGAUAUGCGGAGGAACACCGAUGGCGAAGGCAAUCCCCUGGACCUGUACUGACGCUCAUGCACGAAAGCGUGGGGAGCAAACAGGAUUAGAUACCCUGGUAGUCCACGCCCUAAACGAUGUCAACUGGUUGUUGGGAGGGUUUCUUCUCAGUACGAAGCUAACGCGUGAAGUUGACCGCCUGGGGAGUACGGCCGCAGGUUGAACUCAAAGGAUUGACGG
rnacentral:rRNA from 1 species